rnacentral:rRNA from 1 species
GUCUAUGGCCAUACCACCCUGAACAUGCCUGAUCUCGUAUGAUCUCAGAAACUUUUUUUAGGAUUGUAUUUAUUUGAUACGAGCACAAAUGGGAAACAGUGGACA